GUGCUACCAACCGGGACUAAAGAGUUUUUUAUUUUUUUCUUUUACUUCCUUUUCGUUUUCCAUUUAGGGUUUACAAUUAUGUUAUUAUUAUUUUCAAAUGUGUAUUGUUUGCUGCUAGUUUAUGGAAACAUGCACCUAUAAUUUAUUUAAUUUAAAGCAUUACAUAUAAAUAUACUAUAAAACACUAUAUAUAUAUAUAUUAUAUGUAUCUAUAGGUCCAUAAUAUAAUAUUUACACAUAUGCAUCCCGGAUAAAGUAUUUACAACAAAAUUUAUCUCUACCACUCAAGCAUCGUAUAAAUGAUGAUCAUGAUUUGGUUUCAUUGGCUCCUCAGGGUUGAAGUAGCAUUCGCCGCUGGGAUUGAGGACUUGGUCGUUAAGGAAUCAUGUUAUUGUCUCUUGAAUUCCUUUUAGGCGCACCACAUCCAACACUUGCUCCUUCAACCGCAUCUCCUUCAAUAGACAUUAAAGAAAAAAGUUAGAGGUAUGAAUAAGAUUUAUUAAAUAGCAACAAAAAAAUAAAAUAAACUUAUUAUAUAUACAUGUUACAUACUUUUAGGUGCUCAAGAUUAGUUCUUUUGGCAUAGACCAUCAUAAAUUCGCACACAUAGUAGCCAC
rnacentral:lncRNA from 1 species